GAUCCUCGGUAGCGAAGGGCUGGAGGCAAACACCGAGCUCCCCCUGAGCCGCCUGGGAGCAGGGAGGGUUCUGCUACCCUGAGGGGCCCUCCCCGCGGGGCAGAGGGGACCAGCCCAACAUGGCUUCCAACACAGAGACCAGAAGGACCCAAUAAGAGACCGAAGACACGACUGAUAAUACAGAAAGGAGGGUGAUGCUGUGUGCAAGGCAGAUACAAGAUGGUUUUUCCAUAAGAGGAAGUGAUCAUGGCAACCAUGACCUUCUCUGACCUUCUCUCUUCCAAGAGGCUGUUGGGAAGGUGGGAUGACCUAGGAUUGACCUUGGACUUGACAUCACAGAAGCCAUUUCAACCUUCACAGGGCCCUGGCAGUACUCGAGUGUGUGAUUCUGCUUCCUGUGACAAGUUAACCUUUGGGUUGAGCAAUUCAUUGGUUUUUAGUUUAUUCCCACGGUAGUGCCACCGUUGCCAGGAUCUAAUUCCAGAACACUUGUACCACAAGAAAGAAACUCCUAGGACAUCUGUCUGGAUGGGCACUGUGAAGACCUCAUGUAACUGGCGACCCACAGUCUGACCUCUGCCUGGCUUCUUUCAGUUAGCAUACUUUUCAAGAUCCACUCACGAUGUGGCAUACAUUCAUCCUUUAUCCCUUCCUGCAGCUGGAUACUGUUCCAUGGUGAGAGCCUACCACAGUUGACGUACCCAUGCCUCAGAUGGUUUGGCUGUUCAACUUCUUGUCUAUUGUGAAUAAUGGACAAUAUUGUGGUAUAUACCAAUAGGUGGUUUGUACCUUGUGUGUGUGUGCUGUGUGUAUGAGUUUACAUAUUUUAUGAUUCUCCUGAGAAUAUAUAUACUUUGUGAAAAGUAUUGUAAUUAA
rnacentral:lncRNA from 1 species